rnacentral:rRNA from 1 species
CCUACGGGAGGCAGCAGUGGGGGAUAUUGCACAAUGGGGGAAACCCUGAUCCAGCGACGCCGCGUGGGCGAAGAAGUAUUUCGGUAUGUAAACCCCUAUCAGCAGGGAAGAGAAAAUGACGGUACCUGAUGAAGAAGCACCGGCUAAAUACGUGCCAGAGGCCGCGGUAAUACGGAGGUGGCAAGCGUUAUCCGGAUUUAUUGGGUUUAAAGGGUGCGUAGGCGGGAUGACAAGUCAGCGGUAAAAUCGCGGGGCUAAACCUCGCUCCGCCGUUGAAACUGGCGUUCUUGAGUGGGCGAGAAGUAUGCGGAAGUCGUGGUGUAGCGGUGAAAUGCAUAGAUAUCACGCAGAACUCCGAUGGCGAAGGCAGCAUACCGGCGACCAACUGACGCUGAAGCACGAAAGCGUGGGUAUCGAACAGGAUUAGAUACCCUUGUAGUC